UACGUAGGGUGCGAGCGUUAAUCGGAAUUACUGGGCGUAAAGCGUGCGCAGGCGGUGAUGUAAGACCGAUGUGAAAUCCCCGGGCUUAACCUGGGAACUGCAUUGGUGACUGCAUCGCUCGAGUAUGGCAGAGGGGGGUAGAAUUCCACGUGUAGCAGUGAAAUGCGUAGAGAUGUGGAGGAAUACCGAUGGCGAAGGCAGCCCCCUGGGUCAAUACUGACGCUCAUGCACGAAAGCGUGGGGGAGCAAACAGG
rnacentral:rRNA from 1 species